rnacentral:rRNA from 1 species
AACGAACGCUGGCGGCAGGCUUAACAUAUGCAAGUCGAACGCCCCGCAAGGGAGUGGCAGACGGGUGAGUAACGCGUGGGAACAUACCCUUUUCUACGGAAUAGCUCUGGGAAACUGGAAUUAAUACCGUAUACGCCCUACGGGGGAAAGAUUUAUCGGGGAAGGAUUGGCCCGCGUUGGAUUAGCUAGUUGGUGGGGUAAAGGCCUACCAAGGCGACGAUCCAUAGCUGGUCUGAGAGGAUGAUCAGCCACAUUGGGACUGAGACACGGCCCAAACUCCUACGGGAGGCAGCAGUGGGGAAUAUUGGACAAUGGGCGCAAGCCUGAUCCAGCCAUGCCGCGUGAGUGAUGAAGGCCUUAGGGUUGUAAAGCUCUUUCACCGAUGAAGAUAAUGACGGUAGUCGGAGAAGAAGCCCCGGCUAACUUCGUGCCAGCCGCCGCCGUAAGAC